GGAAUAGAAAGGUAAAGGGACCUCUGAGAAUCGCGCAUGUAUUGUGUGAAAAACUCUCAUCGAUAUCACUAGACUAUAAGUUCUGAGGGUAAUUAUAAGUUCUGAGAGUAAUUAUUCCUUGUGUUUUUCUUUGUUGGUUAAUUGUAGCUUUGGGCUUUUUUUUUUCUUUUUUUUUUGUAUUUAUGCCUAAUGCAACAUGAUUGUUGUGAUUGGGAUUGUCAAAGUGUAGUAUUUUCAGUUUAUCAUCAAUUGGAAUAUAUGGUUGGGGGUUCAAGAAAAUCCAGAGUUGUUAGCUUUUUUCCAUUUCAUUUGUUACUCUGUGCCUAAUCUCAAUGUCUCCAAAUACAUAUUUUGUAAACUAGAUAGUGUAAAGGUAUUGGACUGUAACUUUCUCUAAAUUUGCAUAAACAUACCUUCGACCAUCUAGUUUUACAAACAUGACUGAAGUAUACAUUAUCUAUACACUUCGG
rnacentral:lncRNA from 1 species